UACGUAGGGGGCAAGCGUUGUCCGGAAUUAUUGGGCGUAAAGAGCGUGUAGGCGGUCCGGUAAGUCAGCUGUGAAAGUCAAGGGCUCAACCCUUGAAAGCCGGUUGAUACUGUCGGGCUAGAGUACGAAAGAGGGUCGCGGAAUUCCCGGUGUAGAGGUGAAAUUCGUAGAUAUCGGGAGGAACACCGGUGGCGAAGGCGGCGACCUGGGUCGAUACUGACGCUGAGGUGCGAAAGCGUGGGGAGCAAACAGG
rnacentral:rRNA from 1 species